AUGUUUGGUCCCUCCCUCUCUCAGAGGAUGAAGAGGGGAAGGGAGAGAUUAGGGGAGGCUCUGUUCAGCUGUGGGGCCACAGACUGCAAGAUCUAUGAUGACCUCCGCCAUGGCCUGGUCCCCUCUCCUCCUCGCCCUCCUCGCUCACUGCACAGGGUCCUGGGCCCAGGCUGUGCUGACUCAGCCACCCUCAGUGUCUGGGUCCCUGGGCCAGAGGGUCACCAUCUCCUGCACUGGGAGUGGCUUCAGCAUCGGAAUUGUUGCUGUGAGCUGGUACCAACAGCUGCCAGGAAAGUCCCCUAAACUCCUCAUCUAUGGUAAUGACAAGAGACCCUCAGGUGUCCCUGACCGAUUUUCUGGCUCCAAGUCUGGCAACUCAGGCUCGCUGACCAUCACUGGGCUCCAGGCUGAGGAUGAGGCUGAUUAUUACUGCCAGUCUGUUGAUUUUAGUCAGGGUGCUCACACAGUCCUCCAGCCCUGUGGGGAAGUGAGACAAAAACCGGCUGCCCCAACAUUAAUGGGGCUGCCUGUGCAUCUCGACUCUGGCUAAGUCAUCUGCUACUUU